rnacentral:pre_miRNA from 1 species
UCUUAUGAAUGAGCAAGAAAGUGCUUUCUUAAGACAGAAUCUACUCCUGGUGAAGAUGCUGUGAA